UGGGGAAUAUUGCACAAUGGGCGAAAGCCUGAUGCAGCAACGCCGCGUGAGUGAUGAAGGCCUUCGGGUUGUAAAGCUCUGUCUUCUGGGACGAUAAUGACGGUACCAGAGGAGGAAGCCACGGCUAACUACGUGCCAGCAGCCGCGGUAAUACGUAGGUGGCAAGCGUUGUCCGGAUUUACUGGGCGUAAAGGAUGCGUAGGCGGAUACUUAAGUCAGAUGUGAAAAUCCCGGGCUUAACUUGGGAACUGCAUUUGAAACUGGGUAAAUAGAGUGCGGGAGAGGAAAGUGGAAUUCCUAGUGUAGCGGUGAAAUGCGUAGAGAUUAGGAAGAACACCAGUGGCGAAGGCGACUUUCUGGACCGUAACUGACGCUGAGGCAUGAAAGCGUGGGGAGCAAACA
rnacentral:rRNA from 1 species